AUUCCAAUUUAUUUCAGAAUAAUAUUGAAAGAGAGAAUAUUCCAUUUGCAUAAACGCUUUACAGGGUAUGCGAAUUGGAUAGCGCGACAAGCAUUUGAUGCUCAACACAAAUUCAUAGUUGACCGCAAUAAAAAUAUGCUAACAGCAUGCGCAAUAUAUAAAUAACUGGUAAACUGACUGACAGACUGACAGACUGAAUGAAUGGCUGGUUGACUGAAUGACAGUGAAUGAAAGUGGCAGUCUAUGCACUUGAAGCAAUUUGUCUUGCCACAUACGUGACUUUUGCUACUCUCCCAUUUUGUACAUUUCAUUUCUAUUUCAUUUUCCACUUCCACUUCCAUUUUCAUUUUUCUCUUCCCCCCCCCUACCUCCCCCCUUGCUGUAGUUUCUGUUGUUGUCAACGCGCAAAAAUGUUUCACUAGCUGUUUGGCUGCCAUUUUAUUACAUUGCUCAUACGCCGCGUGUCAAGGUGCGACUGCGAGGUCAGCACUUUUGCAGCAAGAAGAAAGAGAGGGAGAGAGAGAAUGAAGAGGUGAGGGAUGUAGAGAUGGAUAAAGGGGAAUUGAGAAGAGGUUACCUCAACGUGCGGAAGUCGCGCACUUGGUCGCGUUCUCUGACUGGAAUGUUGAAGCGAUUGCACAAUAUGACACAACACUGACACUGAUAUGGUUAACACGUUAAACGUUGUACUCGUUGCUCUUGCUGUUGUUGUUGUUGAUGCACCUGCUGUCGUUUCCGGUUGUGAAUGUCAGCUAAAUGCUGCCAUUUGUCAGUCCCAUGCUGCUCAUUAGGUUAUGCAACCAACUUUGUGGGUAGAAGAGAAGAGCGACAGAGACAGAGUCAGAGAGAGAGAGAGAUAAGAACCACUUGAAAAUGGUGGUGGCUGGCAGUGGGUGCUGCGGUGCAGCAGUUCAAGAUACUGUGGUACAUUUCUCUUAAUUCUUGACAAAUGCAAAGACAAGCCAAACAAAACAAACAAACAAACUGCCAACAAAGUGCAACUGAAAGCGGCAAAAAGGCUGCUAAGCAGUGAAAACUAUAGUAAAGUACACACACACACACACAUAAUCUCACACAACCACACAUACGCAAGCAAUCAAACAUAACAUAGAAUGUGUGUUCGUGUGUGUGUGUGUGGAAGCAUUCAGGCAGCUAAAAGCGAACUUUGUUUAGAACCUGCUGCUUUUUUCAUUAA